ACGAGAGGCCCAAACGUUAUUCGGAUUUACUGGGCUUAAAGAGUCCGUAGGCGGCGCAGAAAGUGGGGUGUGAAAUCCCUCGGCUCAACCGAGGAAUUGCGCUCCAAACUCCUGUGCUUGAGGAACCUAGAGGUGAGCGGAACUGAUGGUGGAGCGGUGAAAUGCGUUGAUAUCAUCAGGAACACCGGAGGCGAAGGCGGCUCACUGGGGGUUUUCUGACGCUGAGGGACGAAAGCCAGGGGAGCGAACGGGA
rnacentral:rRNA from 1 species